AUUGAACGCUGGCGGCAGGCCUAACACAUGCAAGUCGAACGAGUGGCGGACGGGUGAGUAAUGUCUGGGAAUCUGCCCGAUGGAGGGGGAUAACUACUGGAAACGGUAGCUAAUACCGCAUACCAUCGGAUGUGCCCAGAUGGGAUUAGCUAGUAGGUGGGGUAACGGCUCACCUAGGCGACGAUCCCUAGCUGGUCUGAGAGGAUGACCAGCAACACUGGAACUGAGACACGGUCCAGACUCCUACGGGAGGCAGCAGUGGGGAAUAUUUCACAAUGGGCGCAAGCCUGAUGCAGCCAUGCCGCGUGUAUGAAGAAGGCCUUCGGGUUGUAAAGUACUUUCAGCGGAGAGGCGUUACCCGCAGAAGAAGCACCGGCUAACUCCGUGACAGCAGCCGCGGUAAUUC
rnacentral:rRNA from 1 species